UAGGCCCUUCGGGGUACACGAGCGGCGAACGGGUGAGUAACACGUGGGUGAUCUGCCUCGCACUCUGGGAUAAGCCUGGGAAACUGGGUCUAAUACCGGAUAUGACCUUACAUCGCAUGGUGUUUGGUGGAAAGAUUUAUCGGUGCGAGAUGGGCCCGCGGCCUAUCAGCUUGUUGGUGGGGUAAUGGCCUACCAAGGCGACGACGGGUAGCCGGCCUGAGAGGGCGACCGGCCACACUGGGACUGAGACACGGCCCAGACUCCUACGGGAGGCAGCAGUGGGGAAUAUUGCACAAUGGGCGAAAGCCUGAUGCAGCGACGCCGCGUGAGGGAUGACGGCCUUCGGGUUGUAAACCUCUUUCGACAGGGACGAAGCGCAAGUGACGGUACCUGUAGAAGAAGCACCGGCCAACUACGUGCCAGCAGCCGCGGUAAUACGUAGGGUGCGAGCGUUGUCCGGAAUUACUGGGCGUAAAGAGCUUGUAGGCGGCUUGUCGCGUCGAUCGUGAAAACUUGGGGCUCAACCCCAAGCUUGCGGUCGAUACGGGCAGGCUUGAGUACUUCAGGGGAGACUGGAAUUCCUGGUGUAGCGGUGAAAUGCGCAGAUAUCAGGAGGAACACCGGUGGCGAAGGCGGGUCUCUGGGAAGUAACUGACGCUGAGAAGCGAAAGCGUGGGUAGCGAACAGGAUUAGAUACCCUGGUAGUCCACGCCGUAAACGGUGGGUACUAGGUGUGGGUUUCCUUCCACGGGAUCCGUGCCGUAGCUAAC
rnacentral:rRNA from 1 species